rnacentral:rRNA from 1 species
AUGGCGACCGGCGCACGGGUGAGUAACGCGUAUCCAACCUGCCCUUUACUAUGGGACAGCCGUCGAAAGGCGGAUUAAUACCGUAUGUUGUCAUGUUGAUGCAUAUUUUCAUGACCAAAGGCUUCGGCCGGUAAAAGGAUGGGGAUGCGUCUGAUUAGCUUGCCGGCGGGGUAACGGCCCACCGGGGCGACGAUCAGUAGGGGUUCUGAGAGGAAGGUCCCCCACAUUGGAACUGAGACACGGUCCAAACUCCUACGGAAGGCAGCAG